GACGGGUGAGUAAUGCCUAUGGAAUCUGCCUGGUAGUGGGGGAUAACGUUCGGAAACGGACGCUAAUACCGCAUACGUCCUACGGGAGAAAGCAGGGGACCUUCGGGCCUUGCGCUAUCANAUGAGCCUAGGUCGGAUUAGCUAGUUGGNGGGGUAAUGGCUCACCAAGGCGACGAUCCGUAACUGGUCUGAGAGGAUGAUCAGUCACACUGGUAACUGAGACACGGUCCAGCACUCCUACGGGAAGGCUACAUGGGGAAUAUUGGGACAAUGGNCGAAAGCGCUGAUCCAGCCAUGCCGCGUGUGNGAAGAAGGUCUUCGGAUUGUAAAGNACUUUNNGUUGGGAGGAAGGGUUGUACNAUUAAUACUCUGCAAUUUUGACGUUACCGACAAGAAUAAAGCUACCGGCCUAACUCUAUG
rnacentral:rRNA from 1 species